rnacentral:rRNA from 1 species
UACGGAGGGUGCAAGCGUUAUCCGGAUUCACUGGGUUUAAAGGGUGCGUAGGUGGGCAGGUAAGUCAGUGGUGAAAUCUCUGGGCUUAACUCAGAAACUGCCAUUGAUACUAUCUGUCUUGAAUACCGUGGAGGUCAGCGGAAUAUGUCAUGUAGCGGUGAAAUGCUUAGAUACGACAUAGAACACCAAUUGCGAAGGCAGCUGGCUACACGAAUAUUGACACUGAUGCACGAAAGCGUGGGGAUCAAACAGG